ensembl:lncRNA LOC103693194 uncharacterized LOC103693194
AGGUUGGUGGUAUAGUGGUUAGCAAAGCUGCCUUCCAAAAAUUUGAUUCGGGUUCUGGUCCCGUACUGUGGUUGUCAUUUAAGCUUACCUUCUUAUUUCCCUGAAAUUUCCGUGAAAAUCAAUUUUCAGAAUUUUAUCAAACAGGAAGUUAGCCGUGAUUCCUCACGCCAAUCAUCCCAGCACUCGGUAACUUUCCAGUUAUAUCAAGCUGACUUUGAACUCUGAGAUCUGCCUACUCUGUCUAGAUCUUGCCCACACCAUGUUUGACUUUUUAUCCAUGCAUGUUUGAGUGAGUCUGAGCCACGUGAGUGUGACAGAAGAGGACAAUGGGUUCCCUGGAGCUGGAGCCACAUGGGUGCUGGGACCUGAACUCCCCUCCCCGUUGAGCCACCUCUCUCCAGCCUGUAAAGGACUUUUAUAAAUAAAGUCACAUUCCCCGAAAGUCAUCCCAACUGGGUUCCUGAGGACGGGCAGCCAUUGUUUGAUGAAUGGCAUUUAGUGAGCAUCCUCCAUUGUUGUUGGAGUGCCCCCACUGUUGAUACUUAAGCUUCCUAGCUAGUAUUUGACCGGACAUCCUGAGGGCUACAUUUUGAACAUGAUGUUGCAACCCUGUUCCAGUUCCAGGAACCCUCCCUGGAGACACCAUUUGUUACACAAUUACAGGAUGUGGCUGAGGACCUGGCUGCUUUGCUGGUCUUCCCCAGUCUCAGCCAUCCUCUCCUCUCUCCUGACCCCUUUCUUUUCACACCCAUUUUGGGGAAGGGUCUCACAUAGUCCAGGCUAGCCUGGAGCUCAUCGUGUAGCUAAAGUUUAUUUUGAACUCCUGCCUCUAUCUUCCCAGUGCUGGACUGAACGUCUGUAAACCACCAUGCCUGGUUAACAAGGAGCUGACACUGGGUCUGAGUCCAAAACCCAGCUUCAGCUUGAAUUUCAAGAUGGAUUUAUGUGAUGAGAGAAGCAGAAGGGGGUGCUUGGAGAUAGAGCCAAGGAAGAGGUGGGGAGGACCAGCUUGUGGAGGAGAGGGGAACCGAGAAAUGGAAAGCACCAGCUGGGACAUCCAGGAACUCCUCAUUCACCCCCACUGUCCCAUCAGCACCUCCCUGGCUCUGGUCCAGGUGGUUGGGGUAAGGAGUGGGCCCCCCGACUUAGGAGAGUCCCGCCCCAUCCCUGUCGCCCUCCUCCCUGCCUUCUCCUACCCCUGAGGCUUCAUCCCCUGGAGUGUGUUCAGCUGGAGAAAAGGGCUGGCUCUCCUACAAAGCAAACCUUUCCCUAAAGGCAAGCCGGGAAGUAGGAGAUGAAGAAAAGUUUCCAGAGCUCAGCCUCCUUCAAAGACUUGCAGCAGAGACUCGGCUCUUGCCACUGCUCAAGCCAAUCAACUUUGCAGGAAUGUUCUAGAGCCAAACCCACACAGCACUGGGUACCCUGAGACUGUCAAAAACAAAUAAACAAAAACAAGAAUCAAGUCCCAGAAAAGACACAAGAAGCCAGGGUAGGGGGCACCCUGGGAGAAACUUGUGUGGCCCAAAAAGAGUGGUCCCUCUGUGCUUCGGGACAUGUGAUGGGUCAUCAUGACUGUCUCUUAAACAUGGUGCAUCUGGCAUCAAUGACUCAACUUGGAGAGGUUUCCAUCAGAUAUGUGGAGAGGGAAGACCCAGCCUAAAUCUGGGCCACCUUCAAGUCAGGAAGGACAUAGGAGAAAAGGCUUUUGCUCACUGGCAGGUUCAUUCAUCCCUCCCUGCUGUUGGAACCUUCUUUGUGAUUCCAGUGUCAACUUAAGACCAGCAGCCUCCAAGGACUCCAGAUGGAUUCAGGUGAGACAUCUGGCCUAGAGGAAUAAGCAACAACUGGAUGUUUGGUCCCUCUGGUGUGAGAUGGCCAUUGUUGGGAAACUCAGACCAUGGACUGAGCAUUGUAACACCCUUCUGAGUGUAGUUCUAUUGUCACUUCUGCCACCAUGGCAUGUCAAGCAAGAACAUUAUCUCCAGAAGGUUCCUGGCAGUAUAUGGGUGACUCAACCUUUGAUUAAAGCACAGAAGAGAACUGGGUACUUUGUUGUUAAUUCACACACAUCUGUUAGGAGGGUGUCUUUAUUGGUUGGUUGGUUUGGGGUUUUGUUGUUUUGUCAACUUGAUACACACAAGUUUCAUAUGGGAAGAAGAAACUUCAAUUAAGACAACACCCACAUCAGAUUGAUGACUGAUUGGGUGGUGCCUAUUGUGGUGGUGCCGCCCCUGAGCUGGAGGUCCUGGGUUCUUUCUAUAAAGAAGCAGGCUGAACUUGCAAUGGGGAAAUAGCCUCCAUGGCCUCAGCAUCAGCUCCUGCCUCCAGGCUCUUGCUGUGACUUCCCUCAGUGAUGGACUAUCACAGCAACAGAGUGCUCAGUAGGACACCAGUUCUCCUUUCUCUACUGUAAAUGCAUACCUGUCACCACAUCACUCAAAGGUCUGAGACAAAAGGGUGGUUGUAAG